rnacentral:lncRNA from 1 species
ACAUCUCUUGGAGUUCUAGCUCACCUUUCUGGUGUUGUUCUUGUACUCAUCUGUUUAAUCUAGUUCUGCCACUUCUUCUUGAACUUUUUGUUAGAUUUCAAGUCUAUAUUUUGUGUCCGUGACAGUUUGUCGAGACUACACUAACUUGAGAUAUCAGAGCUAGUUCUUUCUAAGUAGAGUGUGGAUUACCCCUCUACUUGAAGGUAUACUAGCAUUUUUAGAGGUUGUGGAUUACCCUCCUCUAAACUGAUACUUCUUCUGUUACAAUAUUGGAGUCUUAUUCUUCUUGGAGAGAGUGGAUUACCCCUCUUCUUGAAAUUCUUAAGGCAUUUUAUAGGUUGUGGAUUACCCUCCUAUAAACCAAUAUUGCC